CGCCACGCCCCUUCCGGCCUCCCUGGCUGUGGCGGCCACGUGUAGCCCUGCCGCCUCGCUGUACUCGGGUUCCUCCUCCUCUCUCUCUAGCGUGCUCUUGCACAGGCGUUGUGGCUGUAGCUAAAACGGGCCAGUCAGGUGGGGUGACAGUGACUGGGGGGACUGCUGACGGGUGUGAAAGUGACUGAGAGUGAAGUGCCGGAUGCACUGUCGAGAUGCUGAGGGAGACUAGAUGUCAUUCUUUGAAUCUGAAUACCUAAUACCAAUACGGCUACAACCUGGAUAUCUGUAAGAAGUUCUGCACAUCUUUCCUCAGAUAAAGUACAUGAUUUGAAAAUAAAGGCUCUAUCACAUUUAGAACCUUGGUA